UCCCUGGUAGCUCAGAUGGUAAAGAAUCUACCUGCAAUGCAGAAGACCCAGGUUCGAUCCCUGGGUCGGGAA
rnacentral:tRNA from 1 species